rnacentral:rRNA from 1 species
CAGGAUUAGAUACCCUGGUAGUCCACGCCGUAAACGAUGAUAACUCGCUGUUGGCGAUACACAGUCAGCGGCUUAGCGAAAGCGUUAAGUUAUCCACCUGGGGAGUACGCUCGCAAGAGUGAAACUCAAAGGAAUUGACGGGGGCCCGCACAAGCGGAGGAACAUGUGGUUUAAUUCGAUGAUACGCGAGGAACCUUACCUGGGCUUAAAUGUGAGACGACCGCCGGAGAAAUCUGGCUUUCCGCAAGGACGACUUACAAGGUGCUGCAUGGUUGUCGUCAGCUCGUGCCGUGAGGUGUCGGGUUAAGUCCCAUAACGAGCGCAACCCUUAUGAUUAGUUGCUAACAGGUCAAGCUGAGGACUCUAGUCAGACUGCCACCGUAAGGUGUGAGGAAGGUGGGGAUGACGUCAAAUCAGCACGGCCCUUAUGUCCAGGGCUACACACGUGUUACGAUGGCCGAUACAGAGGGCAGCAACCCCGCGAGGGGUAGCUAAUCCGGAAAAGUCGGUCUCAGUUCGGAUCGGAGUCUGCAACCCGACUCCGUGAAGCUGGAUUCGCUAGUAAUCGCGCAUCAGCCAUGGCGCGGUGAAUACGUUCCCGGGCCUUGUACACACCGCCCGUCAAACCAUGGGAGCCGAGGGUACCUGAAGUCUGUGACCGCGAGGAGCGGCCUAGGGUAAAAUUGGUGACUAGGGUUAAGUCGUAACAAGGUAACCGUA